rnacentral:tRNA from 1 species
GGGUAUAUCUCAGAGGUAGAGCACUUGCCUAGCAUGUAGGAGGCCCUGGGUUCCAUCCCCAGCAACACA